rnacentral:lncRNA from 1 species
UUUAUCUUCUCCGUGAUUCUCGUCCUUACCCCUUUCUUAUGUGUUCCACAGACGAUUUCUUUUGUUGAAGCCCAGCACCUUGCACCUGCCUGUAGUCCCACCUGACCCAGUAUUUCUGUGCUCCUAAGAAAUAUAGAAGUCGUUCAACACUGCAGAUUAAGUCUUUUGUGACCUGAAUUUACCUUACAAAGGAUGUAUUGUUAGUUACCAGUUGCUUCUUCAUCCUUGCACACAAAGGCUAUUCUCCCUUUACGAUUCCCCUGCAAAGUUACCAGCUCAUGGGAAUCUAGACUUUGAGAAAAUAGCUUUGGCAAGAAAGUAGGUAAACUGCUACUCAUGGUUACUUCUGAAUUACUGGACUCUUGUGUUUUCUCUUGGGUUUUCUCAUCCCCCCCCCUUUGUUUUCCUAAUCAGUUUUACUAUGUGCGAUACAUGAAAUUACUUAGAACUACAGAAGCAAGAUAUCAAGAGAAAGAAAAAAUGGAAAUAUGAGUAAAAUAUUUUAUGGGGAACACCAAACUAAAAACCCCACCUUCUGAGAAAGUGUGCACAACUCCAUCUGUCAGGUGGAAUAUUAUUCCUGCCCCAGGGUUUUAAAUAAGCAUCUACGUUUCCUUUCCCAAAUAGAAACAAAUUGCUCUUGACCAAAUGUCUGAGCCCUGGACUUUCUGAAAACCCUAUCUGGCUCUCAGAUGCCAGGAAAAUUUCACCUAGUGUCAUGUUUCAUGCUGAGAGUCUUGUACAGCUCUUGUGUAAACCUUGCUCUCGGAGACACAUUCCAGGCUGCAUUUAUUUCGAAUUCCCAACCAAGUGUAUUCCAUCCCACUCACUUAAAAUUCCUAUUGUGAUUGGAAAAUAUAUAUUUCAUUUACCUUCUGCGCAGCGUUCAAUGAACCGCUUGUCAGGUUUCACCCUUGAAAGGUGCAUUUCAAUCCUGAGUGGGUCUGUCUAUCAGUUGAUUAAAGCUUUGUUAUUACUUGAACGGAACAUCAUAACAUCCACUGUUAUCUUUCUCGACAGUUUUUGAUACUGUCACAUGAGAGUUCUGGCAAAAUAAUAUGGUGGUUGCUACUCUUUCCCCUAUACUAUACCAUUUACUUGUCAGCCCACAAAAUCAUGUCUCAAAUGAAGUAGAAACACGUGUAGAAAAUCAACCUCCCUGUCCUGUGAAAUCUAUGUCACUAUAUAUGCUGACAUGAUAUAAAACGAGAUUGCUUGAUAAAGUGCUUUAGUUAAACACAGAUUACUACCAUUUAGCUAUAGCAGGAUGAGUCAUUUCAGGACAUGGCCUCAGGGAAUGUCAAGUUUAGAGGAGGAAGGAUAAAACUCAAGCAAGGGAGCCGGUUCUUUGUUCAGUGGAGGUGAAUUUCCCGGACAAAGUUUAAGCCACAAAUGACAGGUAGCAUAAAAGAGUAAACUACACCUCGAGAAAGGGAAUGAUAUAAGCAUUUGACCCCCAGUAAGGUCCACACAAGGUCCUUACUACAUAGAUCAUUUCUCAGAUCUGAAGAAACAUAAUUCUAAUCUCUAACCAAUGGAGAAUAACCAUCAACCAUGUUUAGUUACUGUUUACUAACAACAGUGAGAAACGUGUGUGCAUAUAUGUCUCUCUCUUUUUUAAAGUUUAUUUAUUUAUUUUGAGAGAGACAGAGACAGAGUGAGUGAGGGAGGGGCAGAGAGCAAGGGAGGGAGAGAAUCCCGAGCAGGCUCUGUACCACCAGCACAGAGCCCGAUGUGGGGCUUGAAACUGUGAAAUCAUGACCUGAGUGGAAACCAAGAAUCAGACGCUUAACUGACUGAGCCACCCAGGCGCCCUGUGUAUAUGUCUCUUAAGUUUUGUUUUAGGAUUUUCCAGUGGUGAUGGAAUGGUCUGUUAAUAAAAUAUUUCAAUCUGCCCAAGAAAUGGUCCUGGCUCCCCUCUGUGACACUGAAAUGUCCAGCAAGACUCUGGGUUUUCUUUUCUUCUUCUAAUUUAAAAAAAAAUUUUUUAAUGUUUAUUUAUUUUUGAAAGACAGAGAGAGAGAGCAAGGGAGAGGCAGAGAGGGGGGAUACAGAAUCCGAAGCAGGCUCCAGGCUCUGAGCUGUCAGCACAGAGCCUGAUACAGGGCUCAAAUUCGUGAACUGCGAGAUCAUGACCUGAGCCAAAGUCGGACACUCAACCAUCUGAGCCACCCCGGUGCCCCAAGGCUCUGGGUUUUCAAAAACAAUCUGUUCAAUGCUUUCCCAGUGCCAGCAUUACAAAAUCAAUACAACUGACUGCUUUUGAAGUCAGUGGCUAUUUCCUUAUCAAGCUACAGGUCCAACAUGUGUAUAAACCUUAUUCAGGGUCCCAAAAUUCGCAGUUAAGAAAUUUACCCAGGGGCGCCUGGGUGGCUCAGUCAGUUGAGUGUCUGACUUCAGCUCAGGUCAUGAUCUCAGGGUCCAUGGGUUAGAGCUCCGCGUCAGGCUCUGUGCUGACAGCUCACAGCUUGGAGCCUGCUUCAGAUUGUGUCUCCCUCUCUCUCUGCCCAUCCCCCACUGUGCGCUCGCUCUCUCUCUCUCUCUCUCUCUCUCUGUUUCUCAAAAGUAAAUAAAUAAACAUUAAAAAAAUGAAUCCAAAAAUACUUUUUGAGAACCUCAUCAUUCAUCUCGCAUCUUACCCCUUAAACUUUCUCUUUUUUAUUGGAAGAUGUACUCAUGGCAACUUUUUCAUGCAAGAGAAAUGAAGGUGAUUAAGAACACCUAUGUCUUUCUGAAACUGAAGACAUUUCAAUUAUCGUUCCCGAAAGUGUCACUCCCUAUCUUCUGAACAGUCUUCAAAUAUGCUUGUGUGGAUGGUGAAAAUCAAAGGAAACUAACAAGCCUAAACCAAGUCAAACAAACAUACACACAAACCAACCACAACCCUCCUAUGUGUUCUUGUAUUCAGAGAGAGCUGCCUUCUCCUGCUUUCCCCCUUAGCUGUACCUGGGCUCUUCUCUGUGUCUACUCACAUUUUCUAAAGUUCAGGCUCUUCAUUAAAAAAAUCCCUAUGUUUUGCCUCAUAAGAGACUCUUAAAUUCAGAGAACAAACUAAGGGUUGCUGGAGGGGAGGUUGGUGGGGGGUGGGCUAAAUGGGUGAUAGGCAUUAAGGAGGGCACUUGCUGGGAUGAGCACUGGUUGUUGCAUAUAAGAGAUGAAUCACUAAAUUCUAUUCCUGAAAUCAUUUUUACACUGUAUGUUAACUAACAUGGAUUUAAAUAAAAUUAAAAAAUAAAGGAAAUAUUUAGGAAAAAAUUCCUACUCUCUCAGGACCCCUUGGCUAGCUUUCUUCAUUACCACCUUAACAAAUAAUAUUUCUUCACUCUCUUGUAACUCAUGCUCCCUUCUAAGGAGCACUGUUCAGCUGUACCCCAUUUCUCCCUGCAAGUGGCCACAGUCUCAGUGAGCUCCUCCUACAUCUAACAAAGACUUUCACACAGGGUUUAAAGUCUUAAUAUCCAGUACAAGAUCCUGGGUGACUUCAGUGUCCUUUUGAAUGACUAACACCCUUGCUUAUUUGUUGUUAUGGUCCCCACCCUCCCUUGGGCUUUGGCCCAUCACAGUCAUGACCACGCAGGACUUGGUUAUCUCUGUACCUGUUUAUUCUGUGAUAUUGUCCAACCUGCACCUCUCAAUGUUUCAGCUCUCAACUUCGUAUUUCUAUUAGAUCUGUUCUACAACCUCGUUAAGACUUUCAAUCUCUUAGAAGUAGCAUUUCUUUUCAGUCUAAAGACUCCCCUUGGCUCUCAUUUUUGUUCUUGCUCUUCAUCCUAGACACCCUAGCCUAUCACUUCAAACAUUCUCUUGUCAAUAGCCACUGUUUCCCUGAAUUCUUGCCCUCCCUCCACAUUCUCCAGCAAAAUUUCAAUCCAAGGACAAUGCAAUUGUUUGGUUUCUGUGUUCCAGUACCUGUGCUGCUAUGUUCUGGAAAAACCCACAUGCCCCUGCUAGAGACAGCCCUGUCCAUGAUAUCGGUAGAACCCCAACUAACCUACCACAUGGAUGUUUCCUUCCAACUUGGACUAUUCCUUCCAAACCGGUAUUAUAUACCGACCACAACUUCCCUGCUCUCAGCAAAGCCCUCAUUUCCUCAUUUUAUUUUAUAGAUAAAAUAGCCCAAGAAGCGAGACCUCUUUCAGCUCCCUCUCCUCUCUCUGAAUUUGUUCCAACCCCGUUCUGUGUCCCCCAACUCCUUAGAAGCGAUGUCUUUUCUCUUGCCCAGCAUUGAUCUUUCCACUUUUAUUCUUGAUGCUACCCCUUUCCUCUCUACCUGCUCUAUUGCGUAUUUCAUUCCGCACACAAAGCUCCAGCCACUCCCACUGCGCAGGAGCUGUGGCUGAUUCUGUGUCUCUGCUUGUAUCUGCACCACUAAGAUCACAUCGACAGCCUGACGUCAGCCAUGGUGGAGAACUGAAACCAUGGCAGUGAGCCAAAGCUAUAAAUCAGGGGUUGGGUUAUCAACCCCACCCCGGAGAGAGCUGGUUUAUCAGGAUGCCACUGCACAUAAACCCUGCUCAAAACAAACAAAAAUACUGACAAAAAAAAAAAUCAUUGUGUCUAGCCUAUGUCCUCUCUUUUUCCUUUUAUAUUCGACUUAAAAAUGUAGUGUGGGGGUGCCUGAGUGGCUCAGUCGCUUAAGUGUAUGACUCUUGAUUUUGGCUCAGGUCAUGAUCUCACGGUUCAUGGGAUCCAGCCCCCCAUCGGGCUCUGUGCUGCAGCCUCUCUUUCCCUCUCUCUGCCCCUCCCCCACUUGUGUGCUCUUGCUUUCUCUCUCUCUCUCAAAAUAAAUAAGAAAAAACUGUAGUGUGUACUCAGCCUGUAAUUUCUUCCUCACCAAUUCAAAUAUGCCUUUAAUUCUUACCAUUUCCUCACUGAAAUUGAAAGUAAUAAGUAACCUCCCAGUUGAUAAACCUAAUGGCUGCUUUGCAGUUGUUACUAACCUAAUCUGACCCUAUUGGCAACUCCCUCCUUAUAAUCACUUGCCUCGGCUUCUAGGAUAUCACAUUUUCUUGAAUUUGUCCUUACAUCUCUUGUCAUUUUUUUCUCAGGGUCCUUUUCAGGGACCCUUCAUUUAUGUUCUUUCCUCAGCCUGCCCCCUCCACAUUUAUUCAAUACAAUAAUAUUUGUUUCUCUCUUUAGAUGGUGACCUCUCUGAAGGCCGAGACUGUCCCUUCUUGCUCAUAAAUACACACCCAGCAGUUUAUGUCACGCUCACAGUGUUAGUCCUGUGAAUAUGUACUGAAUGCUUGAGUGCAGGUCCUGGGAAUUUCCAAAAUUUCUUCAGGUGGGGAAACUGGUAGAAUGCUAGAUUUCCUACAGACAAGCAGAAAGCAGUUCUAAGCCAGGAAAUUAAGGCCUUGACAGAGAUAUAACCUGAUUUAGUAAACAUUGCUGGUGAGGCACAGACAAGAUGAGUUACUGAAAUGACAGCAGAAGAAUGUGUCGUCUUCACACCAUGUCUCCCCCAAAGAUCAAGGUUUAAAACCAUAAAGAGCUAUACACACUUUUCUAGUUUUAUGCUCAGUCUCUCCUCCAUAUAAAAUACGAUGGAAUAUCAUGAUAUAUACUCACAUAGGGUAACAAUACAGUUUUAUUCACACCUGGCGUGUUGGUCAGUGACAGGCGGUGAUAUUAAUAAUUAUGCCAGGACAACAGAGGUAAACCGUGGAGCUCUCCAGACAACUGGGAUUCAUGGUCACCCUAGCGCCAGUUGACAGAGCAGAACAAAAUGGGUAAAUGCAAAAUUCUCUGCCCAUGGUGACCCAUCACUGGGGUCACAGAAGGACCAAACCCAUCACAGAAGAGAGCUUCUUGCAAUGUGGUGCUGGUUCUGUGCAAACUGUGGAGUCAGUAGUGUAUCCGCAGCAGCCAUCACACAAUUGCAUUAAUCAUUUGUGUUUUAUCCGGAGCUUAUGCGGUUUGGCACAUUAUUUGGUAACCCCCUGCAAUAAACCCAGAUUCCUCUCAAAACAUUUACUGAGCACGGGGACCGUGUGAAGGAAGAACAAGAUAGAGACCAUCCUUAGAGAAGCUAUUGUUUCAUUAUAAAGCAAGUAGUAUCGGGGUGCCUGGGUGGCUCAGUCGGGUUAGCAACCCACUCCUGGUUCUGGCUCAGGUCAUGAUCUCACGGUUCAUGAGAUCGAGCCCUGGGUCGGGCUCUGCGCUGACAGUGCAGAGCCUGCUUGGGAUCUUCUCUCUCUGUCCCUCAGCUGCUCGCAUGCUGUCUCUCUCAAAAUAAACAUUAAAAACAAAGCAAGCAGUGUUGCCCAUAUUUACAGAUGAAGAAACUGGCGCCCAGAACUCCGAAACGCAGAUAAUAAAUUGCACAGCUGGAAUGGUGCCAUCAGAUCUCUGACUUCCAGUUCAGAGAUCGGUUCAUUUUGCUAAGCUGCCUCCAAAAAUGGAGAUGGCAUACCUCAAAGUAUUUUAUGACCUUGUCUGCUACCACACAGAAAUGCCCGUAAAGAACAUUCACACAAUCUUUGCAGAGGCAGACAGUGCCCACGCACAGCGGGCAGUAUUUGUGGUGUCUGUGCAGACUUCCUUUUUAGGCACUGAGAACUGGCCCUGCGAUGAGGAUUUAAAGGGGCUUUAAAAUGUCAAAAGCACAAUCUCUGAUUGGCUUGUCAUUGUAUCAUACCUGUGCUUAAAUCCUGGGUAAAUUAAAAGGGCAAAAAUAUGUCCUUUACUGUGCGGUCAAAUUUCAUACAGGACAAUGAAACAGCCCAGCUAUGGUCACUCUAGUCUUCUUGACAAGACACCAUCUCUACCACAUGAAACGUAGGUAUUUCGCCAGGAUUUGUCCAUGAAAUAUUUCAACCUUGCAGUUAGCAGAUGAAUUCUUUUUAAAAAAUGUCUGUUUAUUUUUGAGAGAGAGAGGGAGAGAGAGAGAGAGAGAAUGGGCAGGGGAGGGGCAGAGAGAGAGGGAGACACAGAAUCCGAAGCAGGCUCCAGGCUCUGAGCUGUCAGCACAGAGCCUGAUGUGGGGCUUGAACUCAUGAACCUCCAGAUCAUGACCUGAGCCAAAAAGUUGGGUGCUUAACCGACUGAGCCACCCAGGCGCCCCCAGAUGAAUUCUAAUUUAUUGGUGCUUUGGGGUUCCUCUUCAGUCUUUACAAAAUAGAUCUAUCUCUGUUCUCAGGUUCUCAAGGGAAAUCGUUUUUGAGAUUGCAAUUAGGGUGUUAAAGGCAACGUGUCACCAUGCUACAUUCACCUAAAUGCUGGCAAGAGGAACUCAUUACAAUGUUGAGAGUUUUUGGUAGUCAAAUCCCCCCUGUCCCACCCCCACCCCCCAGAUACAAAGACCUCUGGGUUUUCAUUCAUUCCAAUGACAGAGUUCUGUUAGUAUAAGAUCCCAGUAAUAAACUCCAAGGUGAAUUUUGCUAUUUUCUGUUUUUCAGAAUAAUAUAUUUCACUUCUUUUAGGAAAAUAUUUCUUAAGUAAGAGAUGGUUUUCACACCAUCUUUUUUCUCUUCUGAUCUGAGAAGAAUUCUGUAAAGGACAAAAGUAAAUUAAAAUAGCUCACCAAUCAAUGAAGUCAUUCAAAUCACAAGCAAGGAUAACUAAAAUAGAAGGCUUUCAAAAUUACCUGAAAUUGAUCAGGGACUGAGUUAACUGAGACAAUAACAAUCAAUGAAAGUUGUUUUUUUUUUUAACAUCUGCAAAAAUCUUGAUCCUAUGCUCAUGACAGAGAUGAAUAAGACAUAUAAGUGAGAUAAAAGGAAUUAUUCUCUUUAUGGAAUGUCUGAGAGUUUCUCUUAAAAGAAGAACUUUUUGGGGGAUGGGGGAAGGGACAUUUCUGAACAAGCUUGCUGGGGAUAAAAGCUGAGAUAAUGAGGAGUCUGCCUAAGAGGGCUUCCCUGAGUGAGGUCUGGGGAGGCACCUGGCUGCAGAGGGGAAAGAGGGAAAAGAAGACAGAGGCAGAGGGAGACUGGCAGGUAACUCAGGAUUGGGUGGAAGGAAGUUUGCUGUGUUUUGUUUGAGGAUUUUCUCCUGGAAACCCUCAAAUCUUUGACAAAUCAUUAAUCAUUAGUUCAUCAAAUUCCAGAGAAAGUUGAUACUACUUUCCUGGAAAAUUGCGAAGGGACUGAGUGGUGGGUCUGGGCACUGGAUCAUUGCUAGACACAUGGAGGUAGGAACGAACACAUCGGUGAUACAAAGAAAUAAACUCUUGGGGCACCUGGAUGGUUCAGUCAGUGAAGCGCCUAACUCUUGAUUUCAGCUCAGGUCAUGAUCUCAUGGUUCGUGAGACUGAGCCCCCAGUCGGGCUCUGUGCUGACAGCAUGGAGCCUGCUUGGGGUUCUCUGUCUCCCUUGCUCUCUGUCCUUUCCCCGCUCAUGUUCUCUCUCUCUCUCUCUCUCUCUCUCUCUCUCUCUCAAAAACAAAGAAAUAAACUCUUCACUAAAUUCCAGGACUUGUAGGGAGAACUCUGGACCAUAAGAGGAUGCAAAGUUGGAUGCAGUGAAUACUGCUUACCAAAUCUCAGAGGAGCAGGAAAACCCCAACUUAACCAUCAGGGUAAUAGAGACAAUCCAUACAGGACCCCAAUGCCUCAUGGUGUGGAGGGAAAGGCAGGUGGGAAAGCAAUGAACAAAACCUCAAUACUGUCACCUGUGCCACAGUGGCUGUGUUCACAUAACACCAUGUGGCCCCAGAGAAGGGCUCCUUUAUCUUAUCUUAGGACUCAGGGAGGUGUCACCAGGGAGGUGACAUUUUUGGUAGGUAUUGCAGGAUGAGCAUGAGUGGCCAAGUAAUUUAGAAAACUCAGGACCGUAUCCCUUCACUUCCCUCAAAUGAAGCCAAACAAAACUGGGAAAGAAGAGGAAGAGCUUUCCAAGCAAAGGAUAUAGCACAAAUGAAGUGGGCCAGGGACACCCACAGGUCAUUUGGGGGACAGUGAAAGGUGCUGGGCACAUGGCUGAGCAGUGCUCAGAGGCAGCACUUAAAGGCUCUAUCUAUUGUCCCCAUGCUUAGGAAGAAGUGAUUUCUCCAGAAUGAGACAUAGGAAAAAUCUAUUAAACGACUUAACCCAAACUUGGUAUUCAAUUAUAGUCAUCAGAUUCUCUGUACUAUAUCUGGUUAAAUAAUAUUCAGCAAAUUAUUUUAAUUUGCAUGCUUACUUGAAGCUUGUUCUGAAGUGAACCCCAGCCCCCUCUUCACGUCUCCCUCCCCUCAUGUCACAUACACAGACCCAGAACACCUCUACCUCUGCAGUUUUAACAAUCUUAAUCACGUAGAAUGCUAUGUCAUUCUUUGGACUGUCACGAUGUAUUUUCUUGCAUUAACGGCCUUACCUAUUGAUAUGAAAUUAUUAUAACUUUAUGAAAUGUCUGCCUAACUUAGAUCAGGGAAUUUUUCAAUGAUUGAUCUUGAUAUGAAUAUAUAGUUGUAUAGGGGGUGCCUGGGUGGCUCAGUCGGUUAAGUAUCCAACUCUUGAUUUUGGCUCAGGUCAUGAUCUCAUGGUUCUUGAGCUUGAACCCGACAUAGGACUCUGUGCUGAUAGCGUGGAGUCUGCUUGGUUUUCUGUCUCCCUCUCUCUCUGCCUGUGUGCUAUCUCUGUCUCAAAAUAAAUUUAAAAAAUUAAAAAAAAAGAAUAUAGUUGUAAAGAUGAUGUAUAGAUAUCAACAGAUGGAAAGACUAUUUAUCUCUUGGUCUUUAGUCGGGCUAUUACAUUGUCUAAUUCACAAUGGUGUAUUCCUGGGGUCCCAUGACAAUCUCAACAACAUUAACCAGCCUUCAAGGUCAAUGUUGGCAAAAAGAAAUUGCCAGUAUGAGCUUUUCGAUCAGUGCCUUUCUUAUCUGAUCAGGGUAUAAGAGGACUGCAGUUUCUUUUAUUAGUAUCUCAUGAUACAAUGACAUUUCAUGCCAAAUGCCCAUUAAAAUCAUUGUCAACUUAUCCCCAUGUGGAUACUGUUUCGAUAUAUUAUAGCAACUUUUUAAAAACACUUAGGCUUUAAAGAUAAAGCAAGGUCACCUAGCCAUCAAGGAGUAUUUGUUAGUAGUGAAGAAUUUAGGUGUACCAAUGGUUAUCUCUUUAAGCUUAUUUGGAAUUUAGCUACUGAAUACAAUUUUACAACAAAUAAUGAAUUGCAGAAAUAGCCUCAUAAGAGGACUCUUAAAAGCCUGUUUCUGACAACAUUAUUUCCAAAAGCAACUAGUGAACAGGAUAAAAGGACUUGUAUACUCCUUUAAGCAAUUCCAUGUCUAUAAGAAGGAUUUCAUUCAUUCAUUCAUUCAUUCAUUCAUUCAUUCAUUUCAACAAAUACAGAGUCUCUACAACACUGGAAGGACUGUUUUAGCUUUGGACAUAUAGGUAAAGGAGAUAAAGUCAGUCAUUAAAAGGAAUUUUAUUCUAAUAGGGGAGAAAAAAAUUGCACCUGAAUUUAUAUGAUACAUUAGCUGCUUUGCUGAAGAAAUAAAGCAGGGUGUGUGGGUAAAAAGAGCAGUGGAAAAGAAGAGGAUGGGCUGGCAAGGGCAUGGCCAUUUUGGAUCCAGUGGCCAGUGAAAGCUGCCUGAGGUGGAGUCACAUUGAGCAGACCACUGCUCACCAGAGGGCAGUCUAUGAAAGCAUUCCAGAAGGUGGAACACAGGGGUGCCCAAGUGGCUCAGUCGGUUAAGUGGCUAAGUUGAGUUCACCUCAGGUCAUGAUCUCAUGGUUGUUGGGUUUGAGCCCCAUGUCCAUCUCUGCACUGACAGCUCGGAGCCUGGAGCCUGCUUCAGAUUCUGUGUCUCCCUCUCUCUCUGCCCCUUCCUUGCUUAUUCUCUCUCUCUCUCAAAAAUAAAUAAAUGUUAAAAAAGUUUAGAAGCUGGAACACAGAGAACAAAGGCCUGGGGUGGGAACAAACUUGGCUUAUUUGAGAAGCUGCAAGAUCAGUGUGAAUGUGUUUGAUAAAAUCUUUGAUAAAUACCAAGCUUAGAUGAAGAAAAUAGGAAGCAAAAGAAAGCAUUAUAUUUCUCAGGAUAUGUAAAUAGCCAGGCAGGACUAGAUGGAAAAGACUUAUGUUUUGGUAAGCUCUUUUGUUUUUAAUGGCAAUGUCUUUUUGCCAACGUGGACCUUGAAAGAUGGUUAACGUUGUUGAACUUGUCAUGGGACCCAAAGAACAAACUACUAUGAAUGAAACAGUUUAAUAGCCCCGUGAGAGACACAGAUAAAUAACUUAAGUCUACCUUUAGCCUUCAGGUUUGGAAACCAUUUUUACACCCCAAUUGAGGAACAAGAUGGACACUCAUAAAAGUUCCUUCAUUCAUUGACCAUUCUAGCCCUCCGCCUCUGAGGAAUAGCUAUCCUUACAUAUUCCACAAAAGAAAUUUAAAAACGUAUCUUACUCAUUCAUGAACACCGUUUCCAGGACGGAAGAAAAGCUUUCUCAGCCUCUUUUGGCUUAGGCCUACAAAGUAAUAUCCAUUUGGAGAUUCCCAUUUUUCAGAAAAUUAAUUUCGUUAUUUCUUCAUGGAACGUUUAAUGCUUACAUUGUAGGGGUCUCGGUCCUUCAAACAUCCACACACGUUCAUAGUGACUCUACCGUGACACUCAUGCAAUUUGAAAUAUAUUUUCUUUCGUGGUUCUGAGAAGGGACAACCUAAAAAUUCCAACCUCAGGAACGGCAUUCUAAGGCAAUUCAGAGACAAUGAAUUCUUAGCUAUUUAAAAGGGAACUCCCUGCAUGGUCACUCAUUAUGUUGAAAAUCUUGAAACACUAAGACUGUUAUAAAUGCCCAACAAUAGAAACUUACUCAACUAGGUGGAGAACUAUUUUCUGAAAUAUUACAGAUCCGACAAAACGAGAAUCAUGAAUCCAAUGAAGCACCAGAAAACUCCACUAUUAUGAGAAGUUUAAUUAAGGUUUGCAGCAUGUAUGUAAACUUUUAUACAUAAUCUGUUGUAAAUAGGGACAAGGAGAAACAUGCGAAGAGCUGAGUGAAACGAUGAGUAUUUGUUUCUAUUUUCUAAAAAAUUAUAUAGUGUUACAUUGCUAGUGUUGGAUUUUGUUUUAUUUCAUCUUCUGGUUAUGUUUCUUUUUUUAGUUUUUAUUUACAUUCCAAUUAGUUAAAAUACAGGGUAAUGUUAGUUUCAGGUGUAUAAUACAGUGACUCCACACUUAUCACCCAGUGCUCAUCCCAACUAGUGCACUCCUUAAUCCCCAUCACCUGCUUCACCCAUUUCCAACCCAUCUCUAUUACAUAGACUCAAACACCCUGAAGGUCGUAUCUUCUCCCAUGCUGCAGAAUUACUACAUUCAGAUACUGACACAGUCCUUUUUAAGGAGAUGAGUAGGUAUUUCAUGUAAUGAAAUAUUCCAUAGUAUUUAUUUAGCAGGUUGAAGACAGGUCGAGGGAAACAGCUAAACUAGUGUACAUAAAGGCAUUUAAUGUCUAUAAGUGUAUAAAAAAUUACUCCAAGACCAAAGAUGCCCAGUACUUUUCUAUAUUAAGUUAUCCCAAGGUAUGUUUAUUUUCAGUCCAUGCUUAAGUUUAGCUACAGAGUCAGGGAUAAAGUAGGAUAAGUGAAGGUAUUUAAUUACUGUUUUCUCUUCUGCAUUCUCAACAGAGUAAUUGCUGACAAACUCUGUUGCCCAGAAAAUGUCGGUUGGAAUUAUUGAGUACAAAAAAAUACAAAAGCAAUGAAAAAAGGAGGAUGUUUUAUUUACAUCUUUCUUCAAAACCAGUGCCUCUGUGUGAUUAAUGUCUUUGUGGGACCAAGAUCACACAUCUGCAUGAAAAGUUAAAAUCGUUCCUUGAGUUUUCCUCCAACAAACGUUGGUAUAUUCAUUUGAAAAUGUAGAUUUUAUUUCCUUCUGAAACAAGUAUCUCACUAUUCAGAACAUCUAGGUUUGCAAAACGAAACAAACAGAAGGAAACUUGACACGAGCAAUAGUUGCCAGUUUUGCUGAGAAUCAUCCCAGUCCUACAAGAGCUAUGGGUUUUUCCACCGGAGAUUCAGAUUUAUUUUUUUAUUGUCCAGCUAGUUUAUUUUCACCUUAUGAAUAUGACAGCAAAUCAGUCUGUGCAUAUGCGUGUGUUUAAAUCUAUAGGCAGAAAUGUCUGGAAUCUUUUGGUUAUGAAAAUUAUAAUUCAUGAUAAUGGAAGAGAGAUAUAACACUUAUUGUAUCCUUCAUACAGCUCAUUUAAUCUAAUUGUCCAAAUGACUAUAUGACGUAUUUGUCCUCUUCUUACAUGG